AUAGAGGUUUCACUGUUAUAAGAUUAGAUAGUGUGUGUUUUAUUAAAUUUUACUAAAACAUGGUGAUUUUACUAAUAUUCAAAAGAUAUAAUUAUAUAUUCUUUAAACAUUAAUAAUAAAAACAAUUGGAAAUUUUGAAUAUAUAUAUAUAUAUAUAUAUAGUUAUGGUAAUUCUAAUUUGGAAGCCCAAGACAAAGUAAUUGACUAAUUGGGCCACUUUAGUAAAGGAAGAGACAGAGUAAUUGAAUAAUGGAUAAUUACAUGAUCAAAACUAUUUCCUAUUAUAUUGUAUAGCCCAAUUUAUGCAUUAUAUUAAAAAAAAUUAAACGUGGACCAUUUUAUAAAUAUCGAAGCCCAUCCUUUUUUUUCCGCGAAACCAAAAAAAAAAAACUUUGCCUUCGAGGACUUUUCUGUUUCCAACCAAAACCAAGAUCGAUCUUUCAUAUCUCUUUCUCCGUGUCUGCAUGUUAUUGUUGCUGUCGUUUUUGGGUAAUAAGUUAUCACUGAAACGAUGAUUGAAGAUAGAUCUAUUGAUAACUACAUUCGAUCUGUGCUAUCCAGGUUCGAAAUUAGGUUAAUUUUUUUUCGAUUACUUAAGAUCGAAAGAUACCUUCUCUGUUAUGAAUCUCUUAAACAUAAUCUAAAGUUUGGAGAGUAAAUCCCAUCUAUAGGAUAGCACAUAUCCCCUCCCAUGUUUAAUCAUGAAGAGGAAACAUCGUGCGCUGCUCAAUUUGGCAAAAGAUUAUAUAGGCAUGAUAUAUUAAUAAAGGAGAUCAAACACUUUUUUCUCAGAAACGGAGCGACAGAGGACAUAACUGAGAUAUAGAAAAGCUGAAGCAGAGUCAUGGUGAAGCAAAGAGAAAAUGGAAACAUCUGGAGUAGAUUAGAUAGCUAAGAGAGGACACAACACAGUUGUUAUCUGGUAAGUUUGUUAAAUUAUAUCAACAUUGCGUGCUGGUCAAAUAUUAUGCUAAUAACACUUUAAAACGUAUCCCAUGGUGAUGAACGUGGAGAGAACCAAGUACCAGUAACCAAGUUGCAAAAGAAGACCACAACUUCGACGGGACGAAGCACUUAUAACACGUGUCGGAAUCGGUUCUUUUGUCUCCUCUUUUCGUGAUCAUGAUUUGAGAAAGACGAUGUAGAAAUCAAACCAUGUGUGACGAUAAGCCUGGAGAAAUGGGGCAAGAUUGAGACUGGUCACGAUGAGAACUCUCUAUUUUUGAGUCACAUAUGUUAAGAUGAUAUGAAGAGAUGUCAACUGUCCUGAAGUUUAUUGGUUUGUGAAAGGAGCUAAAUCUGUAACAGAAUCAGCCAUUAAUAUUCGACCAAACAGGUAAGUUCUUUUAUGAACUCAUUACUUUGGUGUUAGUUAUCUCCUUUAGUUUCGACAGUUUAGAACUAUAUGAGUUGAUUGGUUAGUUAGGCUGUAGUGUGUAGUUAAUAAAAUUGUUUAGAAUAUUAAAUAAAUUAGAUUUUCCGGUUUGAUCCAAAGAAACAAA